rnacentral:rRNA from 1 species
UGCAGUCGAACGAUGAAGCCCUUCGGGGUGGAUUAGUGGCGAACGGGUGAGUAACACGUGGGCAAUCUGCCCUGCACUCUGGGACAAGCCCUGGAAACGGGGUCUAAUACCGGAUAUGACCGUCCAUCGCAUGGUGGAUGGUGUAAAGCUCCGGCGGUGCAGGAUGAGCCCGCGGCCUAUCAGCUAGUUGGUGAGGUAGUGGCUCACCAAGGCGACGACGGGUAGCCGGCCUGAGAGGGCGACCGGCCACACUGGGACUGAGACACGGCCCAGACUCCUACGGGAGGCAGCAGUGGGGAAUAUUGCACAAUGGGCGAAAGCCUGAUGCAGCGACGCCGCGUGAGGGAUGACGGCCUUCGGGUUGUAAACCUCUUUCAGCAGGGAAGAAGCGAAAGUGACGGUACCUGCAGAAGAAGCGCCGGCUAACUACGUGCCAGCAGCCGCGGUAAUACGUAGGGCGCAAGCGUUGUCCGGAAUUAUUGGGCGUAAAGAGCUCGUAGGCGGCUUGUCACGUCGGUUGUGAAAGCCCGGGGCUUAACCCCGGGUCUGCAGUCGAUACGGGCAGGCUAGAGUUCGGUAGGGGAGAUCGGAAUUCCUGGUGUAGCGGUGAAAUGCGCAGAUAUCAGGAGGAACACCGGUGGCGAAGGCGGAUCUCUGGGCCGAUACUGACGCUGAGGAGCG